UACGUAGGGCGCAAGCGUUGUCCGGAAUUAUUGGGCGUAAAGAGCUCGUAGGCGGUUUGUCGCGUCUGCCGUGAAAACCCGAGGCUUAACCUCGUGGCUUGCGGUGGAUACGGGCAGACUAGAGGUAGGUAGGGGAGAAUGGAAUUCCCGGUGUAGCGGUGAAAUGCGCAGAUAUCGGGAGGAACACCGGUGGCGAAGGCGGUUCUCUGGGCCUUACCUGACG
rnacentral:rRNA from 1 species